GUGAAAUCUCACGGCUUAACUGUGAGCGUGCGGGCGAUACGGGCAGACUUGAGUACUGCAGGGGAGGCUGGAAUUCCUGGUGUAGCGGUGGAAUGCGCAGAUAUCAGGAGGAACACCGGUGGCGAAGGCGGGUCUCUGGGCAGUAACUGACGCUGAGGAGCGAAAGCGUGGGGAGCGAACAGGAUUAGAUACCCUGGUAGUCCACGCCGUAAACGGUGGGUACUAAGUGUGGGUUUCCUUCCUUGGGAUCCGUGCCGUAGCUAACGCAUUAAGUACCCCGCCUGGGGAGUACGGCCGCAAGGCUAAAACUCAAAGAAAUUGACGGGGGCCCGCACAAGCGGCGGAGCAUGUGGAUUAAUUCGAUGCAACGCGAAGAACCUUACCUGGGUUUGACAUGCACAGGACGCCGGCAGAGAUGUCGGUUCCCUUGUGGCCUGUGUGCAGGUGGUGCAUGGCUGUCGUCAGCUCGUGUCGUGAGAUGUUGGGUUAAGUCCCGCAACGAGCGCAACCCUUGUCUCAUGUUGCCAGCGGGUAAUGCCGGGGACUCGUGAGAGACUGCCGGGGUCAACUCGGAGGAAGGUGGGGAUGACGUCAAGUCAUCAUGCCCCUUAUGUCCAGGGCUUCACACAUGCUACAAUGGCCGGUACAAAGGGCUGCGAUGCCGCGAGGUUAAGCGAAUCCUUUUAAAGCCGGUCUCAGUUCGGAUCGGGGUCUGCAACUCGACCCCGUGAAGUCGGAGUCGCUAGUAAU
rnacentral:rRNA from 1 species